rnacentral:rRNA from 1 species
GAUGAACGCUGGCGGCGUGCCUAAUACAUGCAAGUCGAGCGAACGGACGAGAAGCUUGCUUUUCUGAUGUUAGCGGCGGACGGGUGAGUAACACGUGGAUAACCUACCUAUAAGACUGGGAUAACUUCGGGAAACCGGAGCUAAUACCGGAUAAUAUUUUGAACCGCAUGGUUCAAAAGUGAAAGACGGCCUUGCUGUCACUUAUAGAUGGAUCCGCGCUGCAUUAGCUAGUUGGUAAGGUAACGGCUUACCAAGGCAACGAUGCAUAGCCGACCUGAGAGGGGGAUCGGCCACACUGGAACUGAGACACGGUCCAGACUCCUACGGGAGGCAGCAGUAGGGAAUCUUCCGCAAUGGGCGAAAGCCUGACGGAGCAACGCCGCGUGAGUGAUGAAGGUCUUCGGAUCGUAAAACUCUGUUAUUAGGGAAGAACAUAUGUGUAAGUAACUGUGCACAUCUUGACGGUACCUAAUCAGAAAGCCACGGCUAACUACGU